AUUGAACGCUGCGGCAGGCUUAACACAUGCAAGUCGAGCGAGCGGCGGACGGGUGAGUAAUGCUUAGGAAUCUGCCUCUUAGUGGGGGACACCAUCUCGAAAGGGAUGCUAAUACCGCAUACUACUCGAUGUGCCUAGUCGGAUUAGCUAGUUGGUGGGGUAAAGGCCUACCAAGGCGACGAUCGGUAGCGGGUCUGAGAGGAUGAUCCGCCACACUGGGACUGAGACACGGCCCAGACUCCUACGGGAGGCAGCAGUGGGGAAUAUGGACAAUGGGGGGAACCCUGAUCCAGCCAUGCCGCGUGUGUGAAGAAGGCCUUAUGGUUGUAAAGUACUUUCAGUCGGGAGGCGUUACCGACAGAAGAAGCACCGGCUAACUCCGUGCCAGCAGCCGCGGUAAUUC
rnacentral:rRNA from 1 species